UUUUAACCAAGUGUCCUUCACACCUGGAAACUGUAAACAAAAUUCUUUAAUAACAAGGCCACAACUCUCCCACUGGAGAAAAGAAGGACACAAUUAAACAAAGCAAGGGAAGGGGCAUUUUUCAGGGUUGUUACCAAAGACGUGGGCUUGAUACAAUUACCAUCAAGGGUAUAAUCUCAGGCCAGACUCCAAGUCUUUGAGCUUCCAAGAUGCCCUCCCCUGCAAUGAUCUUCACCUCCUCCUAUCCAUACCCUCCACAGUGAAUCCCCUCCUUGUGUGACAAGUAGAACACUGAGGGUGUGAAACUCCUCGGGCUAUACUGUAAAAGACAUUACAGCUUCCUCCUUGGUCUCUUGAUCUCUUUGGGGGAAGCCGAGCACCAUGUCAUGUCACAACAUUCAAGCAGCCUUGUGUGGAGACCCACAGAGAGGGAACUGAGGCCUCCUGCCAGUAGCCGGCACCAACUUUGCAGGUGUGUGUGAGUCAGACACCUGGGAAAUGGGUCCUCUAGCCUCCAGUUUUCAGAUGACUGCAGAUUAGCUAACAUCCGACCCUCUGGAAUUUGAGGACAAGGCUCAAUUCAGUGGGGCAUUCUCUCCACCAGCUCAGUGAUGCCUCAGCUUUACACAGGGACUGUCCCGGUUUCAGCUGUAGAAGGCCCACCUCUUGCGAAACCCCUGAGCACCACCAGGAACACCAGGAUGGCUGAUCACGCAGGAUUUAUGGCACCCAGGCUUAACUAGCAACUUCAACAUUUAUAGAACAGCUGUGAAUCUGGAUAUAAGUGGAGUUCCGGAGUGUGAAGAAGGAUGAAAAUGAGGGAGACGCACCAAUAGGAGCGACAUGGAAGGAGCUGCCAGCCAGAAGGUAGGGUAAAUUCUCUACUCCGGAGAUGAUUCCAUCAUCUUAGCAAAGCCAAAUCAUCAACACUGAAAAGAAAAGCUCUAGUGCUGGGAAAACUUGUUAGCCACACGCAAAGGGGUGUAGCUGGACCCUCACCUCCCGCCACGUGCAAAACUGAACUUGCAACGGAUGACCGAUCUACAUUUAAGAGAUAAAACUAUAAAACUCUUAGAAGAAAACACAGACAGGAGUCUUCAUGAACUUGAGUUAGACAAAGACUUACAACAAAAGGCAAAACAGAGAAACUGGACGUUAUCAAGACUGAACACUUUUUUAUUUCAAAUAAGUCAAUCAAGAAAGUCAAAACCACCGAAUGGGGGGAAAAAAACAUACUGUAAAGCAUAUAUAUGAUAAGGGACUUGUACUGAAGAUAUUCAAAGAACUCUGGAAACUCAAUCCAAUUUAAAAACAGGCAAAUGGGGAAGCUGGGUGGCUCAAUCGGUUGAGCAUCUGACUCUUGGUUUGGGCUCAGGUCAUGAUCUCACAGUUGGUGAAAUCAAGCUCAGCCCUGGGCCUUGCGCUAACGGUGUGGGUGGAGCCUGCUUGGGAUUUUCUCUCUCCUCCUCUCUCUCUGCCCCUCCCUUGCUCAUGUGCCCUCUCUCUCUCAAAAUAAAUAAAGAAACUUAACAAAAUGGGCAAAGAAUCCAAGUAGACAAUUCUCCAAAGAAGAUACACAAAUAGCUUAUAUGCAUGUAAAUUUUCCCACAAACGCAUAAUCACAUGCUCAACAUCUCCAGUCAUUGAAGAAUGUACAUCAAAACUGUAAUGAGACACGACUUCACAUCAAGAGGAGAGUUAGAAUUUAAAGAGCUGAUAAUACCGAGUGUAGGGGAGGCUACAGAGAAAUCAGAAUCAAGCCCUGACGGCGGGACUGUAAAAUGGUACGAUGGCUUUGGAAAACAGUCUGGCCGUUCCCCAAAAUUUAAAUACGGAGUUACCUACAAUAUCUCAGCAAUCCCACUCGUAGGGACACAUCCAAAAGUAAAGACAAAUUAUUAACCCAAAAACCUGUACGCACAUGCUUACGGUGGCAUUAUGAAUAACAACCAAAAGUGGCCAAAAGAAGCCAAAUAUCCCACGCCCCUGAUGAAUUUACAAACCAGUUGUGAUACGUCCAUUCAAUGAAGUAUUCUUCAGCAAUAAAAAGGAAUUGUUAGGAACGGAACUGUGUUCCUCCACCCUGUGUACGUUGAAGCCCUAACCCUCAACGUGAGUAUAUGUGGAGACAGACCUUUAAGGAGGUCAUUAAGGUUAAAUGAGGUCAGAGGGAUGGGGCCCUAAUCCAGUAGGACUGGUGUCCUUAAACAAAGAGGAAGAGACACUAGCGAUCUCUCUCUGUACAUACACACAGAGAAAAGACCAUGUGAGGACACAGUGAGAAGGUGGCCAUCUGCAAACCAAGAGGAAAGCCCUGGCCAGCAGCUAAUCCUGCUGGCACCUUGGUCUUGGGCUUCCAGCCUCCAAAACUCUGAGAAAACACGUUUCUGCAGUUUAAACCACCCAGGCUGUGAUUUUCUAUUAUGACAGCUCAAGCAGACCAAUACAGGACUGAGGUCAAACAUUAGGGCAAAUGAAAGAAGCCAGACACAAAGGGCCACAUCUUAUAAGACUCCAGUAUAUGGAAUGCCCACAACAAACAGAUCCAUAGAGGCAGAGAGUAGAUGACUGGUUGCCAGGGGCUGGGGCUUAGGGAAAAUGAGGAGUGCCUGAUAAUGAGUAUAGGGUUUCUUUCUUUUUAGAGUCACAAAAAUGUUCUAAAAUUGAUGGUGGUGAUGGUUGCACAACUCUGUGAACAGACUUAGAACCACCGGAUUUACAAUUUAAAUGAGUGCAUUGUAUGGGUUCCAGGCUCGACAGCUGGGGCCCAGGAAGUGUAUGCUGGUGAGAAGCAGAGGUGAACUCAUAAGCCCUGUGAAUUAUAGUCUUGGGUGAACCACACUCUCCCCAGCUGGAAGACUUCUUGCAGUGAAGGAACAAACCGAGAGACUCCCUACCAAGGUGGUCAGCAGGAAGUCAUGGCAGGAGUGAGCAUUCAGACCGCUUUAAUGCGGUAUCCUAGCUGUCUGGCUUUUCUUUGUCCUUUUUCCUCCAGAAGGAUGGUAUGCAGAUAUUUCCCUUCAUUUCCUGGGAGAGUCUGACGGGCAAGCCUCCUAGCUCUCAAGUGAAGAGACGCUAAUAACAGUUUUUUACUGGAUCACGACUUUGGUUCUGCAUUUAAUGGACCCUCAUGAA